GACGUCACGUGCGCGUCGGUCCAGACGCCUCCCAGUUUUCCGCGCGUCUUGCUGGUUUUUGGUAAAUCUCUAAAGAGGAUUUUCCACAGAAACAAUGUCUUUGGUUCCAGUAGCUCCCUAUAUAUAUACACCCUUGAAUCUACUUAAAGAAGGUACAAUUGUCCAUGUCUAUGGUGUUGUGAAAUUCUUUAAGCCUCCAUAUCUCAGCAAAGGAACAGAUUAUUGCUCAGUAGUAACAAUUGUGGACCAGACAAAUGUCAAGUUAACGUGCAUGCUGUUUAGUGGAAAUUAUGAAGCCCUUCCAAUCAUUUAUAAAGUUGGAGACAUUGUUCGCUUUCACAGGCUGAAGAUUCAAGUCUAUAAGAAUGAGCUUCAGGGAAUCAACAGCUCUGGUUUUGCAUCUCUGACAUUUGAAGGAACUUUAGGGACUCCUGUCACCGCACGCACUUCAAGCAAACUGUUCAACUUCACUGCUGAGGACCAAAAAAUGGUAGAAGCCUUGCGGGUUUGGGCAUCCACACACAUCUGCGCUUCUUCAACUCUGGUGCAGCUGUGUGAUGUUCAACCCAUGCAGUAUUAUGACCUGACUUGUCAGCUCCUGGGCAAAGCAGAAGUGGAUGGAACGGCUUUUCUUCUAAAGGUAUGGGACGGGACAAGGACGGUGUUUCCCUCUUGGAGAGUCUCCAUUCAAGAUCUUCCUUUUGAAGGUGAUUUAAGUCACAUUCUACGGCUACAGAGUCUGGUGGUAGACGUUCUGGUCUAUGAUAACCAUGUUCAAGUGGCAAAAUCCCUGAAGGUCGGAUGCUUUCUUAGAAUCUAUAGCCUCCAUACCAAGCUUCAGUCUGUUAAUUCAGAGACCAACAGUUUACCUUUAAGGUUGGAGUUUCAUCUCCAUGGAGGGACCAGUUAUGGUCGGGGAAUAAGGGUUUUGCCAGAAACUAGCUCUUGUGUGGAUCAGCUGAAAAAAGAUUUUAAAUGUGCAGAAUUGGCAAUCAAUCAGCCCUUAAAUGGUAUCUGUCAAUCAGAGAAUGAAGACAGCUUUUCACUUUCAAACUCCGGAUCAGGCUCAGUAUCACUGUUUGAGGUAGAGCGAUGUCAACAAGUCUCUGCUACAAUACUUACAGAUCACCAGUACUUAAAGAAAACACCAGUGUGUGCCAUUUUGAAGCAAAAGGCUCCUCAACAGUAUCGAAUCCGUGCAAAACUAAGAUCGUAUAUGCCCAGAAGACUUUUACAGGCUGUUAAACUUCUUUGUCCUCAAUGUCACUCGUUGCAAGAAGUUCCAUAUGAGGACAGCUUGGAUAAAAUUUUGCAAGAUGCUGCAACUAAAGCUCCCAAUAGCAAGCUGCAAGAUACGUCAUUGUAUGACUCAAAAGUCUGGUCCACUGAAGGCCAAGGAGGACGGCAGGUCGCUGUUCACUUUGUGAAAAAUGAUGACAUUCUUCCUAUUUCAAGUGAAUGUCUAAUUUUGGUAGAAGGAGGAAGGCUCUGUGAAGUCUCGAAACUGUCAAGCAAGUUUCACAGUGUUAUUCCUGUGAGGUCCGGCCCUGAGGACCUGGAGCUGCUAGACCUUUCGGCACCGUUCCUCCUCCAAGGAAAAAUGCAUCACUAUGGAUGUAAACAAUGUUCAAGAAUGAAAUCUAUACAAAACCUAAAUUCCCUUCUUAAUAAAGGACUAUGGAUUCCUUCCGCUGUGGCAAAAGUUCUGGGCAUUGUGCCUCUACAGUAUGUGUUUGUUAUGACUUUCACUCUGGAUGAUGGAACAGGAGUAUUGGACGCUUACCUCAAGGAUUCUGAGAACUUUUUCAAGAUUCCAGCAUCGGAAGUCCUCACUGAUGAUGACCUUCAGAGAAGUCUGGAAACAAUCAUGAAUAUGAUGUGUCCUCCAGGAAUAAAACUUGAUGCAUACCCAUGGCUGGAGUGCCUCAUCAAGUCCUACACAGUCACCGUCGGAACAGAGCAGCGAAUUUGUUACCAGAUUUUUGACACUGCAGUUGCAGAAGACAUCGUCUAGUGCUGCCAUUCAGUGCAGUUUGUGUGGGAUUUUAUAAUUUUAGAAAAAGUUACAACUCUGUGAGAUUAUCAGAAGACACUUUGCUGUUGUCAAAGUGUUGUGCUCAUUUUCACUAAGUUUAGUUCUUUUGUACAGAAAAACAUUUUAUUGUUAUUUAUGCCUUCUUAUGAACAUGUUAAAAAUGGUGGUUGCUCAGCGUGUCCAGGGAAGUACAAUAUGAGGCUCUAUCUCUGAGGACCAGGCUUUGUUGGCUCCUGUUUAUAAAACACUGGUGGCUACAUUUCAUUUGUCUACAGAAGAAUCCCCUUAUCGACCCGACCCUGCUGAAAGAAGUCUUGGGCCUCUACGUACGAAUAUAUGGUUAGCUGAGUUCCGAUUGAACAAGUGCUUCUCUGAAGGUUUAGGGAUCGUGAUGGUGAAGACAGCCCACAGCAGACAGGGAACCUGGAACUGGAAGCUGAGAGCUAAACAUCCCAAACCAAUGGAAAACAGAAAGCUUUAACUGGGAAUGACUCAGUCAGAGGUACUGAGAACCCACUACACUGAGAUCCUUGAACAAGAAAUUCAGACAACUUUCAGUUAAAUUUAUAAUGCAAGAAGACAGAAAUCUCAGAGUGCUUGUGCGACAGCAGUGAAGUUCCCAGUGCACAGUCGGAGUCGAGCACUGACAAAGUGCACACUCAGGAGCAUCUUGGUGUUUUCUUAUACCAAUGAAACACUAUUCUUAAAGAAAUCUUUGGUGAUGUGUACAUGAAUAAUCUUGGAUCUUAUCUGGGACCAAAGCCAUAAUCUUGGAUUGUCAGAUGAAGACUGUAAAUACAGAAAAUUCCAGCCAAUAUGAAGUGCCAACUCAGUGUCAUCAAAUCAAACACUUUGGAAGCCUGAAGCUAGAAACCGCACUGUGGCAUUACCAACACUGAGGCAGAUGCCUGUUUGAUUGCUAAGGAGAAACAAAAAUGGUGUGGAUCCAGAAGAGAGAGCAGUGAUGCUUCAUCUACCUGCUCUACAUAAAUGAGAAGAAGCCAAGAACCAGAAUGCUGUUACUCCAUUCCACAGUUUAUCAUCCCCUAGAAUAGUGCCUGCAGCUAGCACAGAUGCCAGCAUGUAUUGGAUAAAUGAGUGCCUGAAUCAAGUCGUGAAUAAAAUCCAAUAAAAACUAUAGUGCAUGACCCUUGACUUUC